AUACGUAGGGGGCAAGCGUUAUCCGGAUUUACUGGGUGUAAAGGGAGCGUAGACGGAAAGGCAAGUCUGAUGUGAAAAUCCGGGGCUCAACCGCGGAACUGCAUUGGAAACUGUUUUUCUUGAGUGCCGGAGGGGUAAGCGGAAUUCCUAGUGUAGCGGUGAAAUGCGUAGAUAUUAGGAGGAACACCAGUGGCGAAGGCGGCUUACUGGACGGUAACUGACGUUGAGGCUCGAAAGCGUGGGGAGC
rnacentral:rRNA from 1 species